rnacentral:rRNA from 1 species
AGGAUUAACGCUGGCGGCGUGCCUAACACAUGCAAGUCGAACGAGGUAGCAAUACCUAGUGGCAGACGGGUGAGUAACGCGUGGUCAACCUACCGUUGAGUGGGGGAUAACUAGCCGAAAGGUUAGCUAAUACCGCAUACGAGUCUCGGGGGCAUCCCUGGGCCUUAAAAGGAGCAAUCCGCUCGAUGACGGGACCGCGUCCCAUUAGCUAGAUGGUGGGGUAACGGCCUACCAUGGCACCGAUGGGUAGCUGGUUUGAGAGAGCGACCAGCCACACUGGGACUGAGAAACGGCCCAGACUCCUACGGGAGGCAGCAGUGAGGAAUUUUCCGCAAUGGGCGAAAGCCUGACGGAGCGACGCCGCGUGUGGGAAGAAGGCCUUCGGGUCGUAAACCACUGUCGAAGGGGACGAUAAUGACGGUACCCUUGGAGGAAGCCCCGGCUAACUACGCGCCAGCAGCCGC